rnacentral:rRNA from 1 species
UGGGGAAUUUUGGACGAAUUGGGGGCAACCGUCGAUCCAGCAAUGCCGCGUGUGUGAAGAAGGCCUUCGGGUUGUAAAGCACUUUUGUCCGGAAAGAAAACGUCGUGGUUAAUACCCGUGGCGGCUGACGGUACCGGAAGAAUAAGCACCGGCUAACUACGUGCCAGCAGCCGCGGUAAUACGUAGGGUGCAAGCGUUAAUCGGAAUUACUGGGCGUAAAGCGUGCGCAGGCGGUCCGCUAAGACAGAUGUGAAAUCCCCGGGCUUAACCUGGGAACUGCAUUUGUGACUGGCGGGCUAGAGUAUGGCAGAGGGGGGUAGAAUUCCACGUGUAGCAGUGAAAUGCGUAGAGAUGUGGAGGAAUACCGAUGGCGAAGGCAGCCCCCUGGGCCAAUACUGACGCUCAUGCACGAAAGCGUGGGGGAGCAAACAGGAUU